UGGGGAAUAUUGCGCAAUGGGCGAAAGCCUGACGCAGCCAUGCCGCGUGUGUGAAGAAGGCCCUAGGGUUGUAAAGCACUUUCAAUUGGGAGGAAAAGCUAACGGUUAAUACCCGUUAGCCCUGACGUUACCUUUAGAAGAAGCACCGGCUAACUCCGUGCCAGCAGCCGCGGUAAUACGGAGGGUGCAAGCGUUAAUCGGAAUUACUGGGCGUAAAGCGCGCGUAGGCGGCUUUUUAAGUCGGAUGUGAAAGCCCCGGGCUCAACCUGGGAACUGCACCCGAUACUGGAAGGCUAGAGUGCGAGAGAGGGAGGUAGAAUUCCAUGUGUAGCGGUGAAAUGCGUAGAUAUAUGGAGGAAUACCAGUGGCGAAGGCGGCCUCCUGGCUCGACACUGACGCUGAGGUGCGAAAGCGUGGGGAGCAAACAGG
rnacentral:rRNA from 1 species